AGCAGCGUGGCUUAGUGGAAAGAGCAUGGGCUUGGGAGUCAGAGGUCAUGGGUUCUAAUCCCAGCUCUGCCA
rfam:Ornithorhynchus anatinus chromosome X5, whole genome shotgun sequence.